rnacentral:tRNA from 1 species
GCCCUGCUAGCUCAGUGGUAGAGCGUCGCACUCGUACACAUGCAUUCGCUUCUGUCACGAUGCGAAGGUCAGUCGUUCAAGUCGGCUGUGGGGCA